ensembl:snRNA U1 U1 spliceosomal RNA
AUACUGACCUGGCAGGGGAGAUGCCGAGGUAACGAGGGUGGUUUUCCUGGGACGGGGCUUGUUCAUUGCACUCCGGAUGUGCUGACCCCUGCGAUUUCCCCAGGUGUGGGGGGCUCAGCUGCAUAAUUGGUGGUGGUGGGGGACUCCGUUCGCGCUCUCCCCUG